GAUGAGGAUAUGAUGAUGGUUAUUACAAGCACACAUCUUAAAUAAAUGUGUGGAAAAGUCAACUUCUGAAUAUCCUCUUG